CCUUCUGUGACGCUGCCGGGUGACGAGCCUGGAGCCUCGCCAGCUCCUUACCACCUCACGUCACCAUCAUUUCUAUCGCGGGCUCGCCUGAGGUCUGGUCUGGCCACUCAAGCACGCGGUGCGCCAUCGCUGCACUGCCCCGCUGUGCUGUCUCAGAUCUCCAGGACCUAUUCUUUUCUGGCUCCAAGUCUGUGUCCGAACAGCGUAUGUUCCCAACUCCCCGGAGCCCCGGGGACCAUCCUGCACGCUGGUUCUGAGUUCCGUUUGCAGAUUCCACAUACAGAAGCAGGCCACAGGUCCCACCCCCAUUCACGAGCAGGAGGUAAUGCAAAACUCCGGGGGCUCAGGGCAGGAACUAUGGGGCCACGGCAGGAUGUACCCACCACAGAUGGGAGCAACUUGGUCCAGACUGGCACAACAGCUUCCCAAGGAGGAAGGAUGUGAGCCCAUCUCUGAAGGACUGGUGGCUGAGACUCGGCGCCGCCUGCUGGGAGAGGCCUCGGGCCUGGUGUCAGGCCAGACCUUCUCUCCUUCCCCUGCUGACCGUGGACCCCGCCGGACAAGCUCACUCCGGGGCGUGAGCUCACCACGCCUGGGACAGACACGGGGCGCACCGGCGGGAGGAAGCCAGCGCCUG